rnacentral:pre_miRNA from 1 species
UUGUUACCUGGAGUUCCCCUGAAUACUUCAUUGGGGUAGUUAGUAUCAAGAGUCGAGACCCCUUUUAAUUAAAAAUUAAUUAAGGGUGAGUAGCUCAAGUACUUUGGUUUUAUCCCACUGAAGUGUUUGGGGGAACUCUGGGUGCCAU